rnacentral:rRNA from 1 species
UACGGGGGGUGCGAGCGUUGUCCGGAAUCACUGGGCGUAAAGGGCGCGUAGGUGGUCUUAUAAGGGUGUGGUGAAAGCCCGGGGCUCAACCCCGGGUCGGCCGUGCCGACUGUAAGACUAGAGUGCUGUAGGGGCAGGCGGAAUUCCAGGUGUAGCGGUGAAAUGCGUAGAUAUCUGGAGGAACACCGGUGGCGAAGGCGGCAUCCUGGACCGGUAUUGACGCUGAGGCGCGAAAGCCAGGGGAGCAAACGGG